rnacentral:rRNA from 1 species
CUACGGGACGCUGCAGCUAAGAAUCUUCCGCAAUGGGCGAAAGCCUGACGGAGCGACGCCGCGUGGGUGAAGAAGGCCGAGAGGUUGUAAAGCCCUUUUCUGUCUGAGGAAUAAGCCUGGGAGGGAAUGCCCGGGUGAUGACGGUAAGACAGGAAUAAGCCCCGGCUAAUUACGUGCCAGCAGCCGCGGUAACACGUAUGGGGCGAGCGUUGUUCGGAAUGAUUGGGCGUAAAGGGCGCGUAGGCGGAGAUGCAAGUCUGGUGUGAAAUACCGCAGCUUAACUGCGGGACCGCGCUGGAAACUGCAUAUCUUGAGUUCCGGAGGGGGAGUUGGAAUUCCUGGUGUAGGGGUGAAAUCUGUUGAUAUCAGGAAGAACACCGGUGGCGAAGGCGAACUCCUGGACGGAAACUGACGCUGAGGCGCGAAAGCGUGGGGAGCGAACAGGAUUAGAUACCCGGGUAGUC